GCCUGACUCUAACUAUCACCUGCAUUCCCGUUGUCUUCACAGUCCUCAUCUGCAUUGCAAUCAUAGGUGACCACGCCUACAUACUUGUGCUUUCAUUUCAUACAUUGUAGGCAGUCUUCUCAAGGACUUAUUCAGUGAAGUCCUCAGUCAUAGAAAACACUUUUUCUUUAGUUUAUUGAUCCAGAAUAGGCCAGAUCUAGUAGGUUCCAUCACCUCAGUUACUGAUGCAAAAAAAACCUCCUUUGUUUACUCCUUCUCAGUUUUUUUUCUGAUUUGUUUGUCAUCAGUGAAAUUCCUGUGCUUCCCGUCCAAAAUGCGUGAUCUGUCGCUCCCCUGUGGUAGCAAGUGGAAUUGCAGUGUUACACCUGAUCCUCCUGCCUUUGCCAAACACCCUGCCAACCAAACAGCGAACAUAACCAAUGGUAAAAGCCUUGGGUUCAAACCAAUGUGUCUCAGUACUAAUCUUCAUAAUCACUUCUUCCUGUAUAUCUUUCCCUUCACUAACGGAUCUAAUUUCACUGACUUAACCGGAACACCCUUCCCCUCAGGUUGUCCCGACGGGGUUCGAGGUGGGCGGGGGGUACGCAUCGUGGGGGGUACUCUGGCGGAGGAGGAUAAGUGGGGCUGGCAGACGAGUCUGCACUGGAGGGGGAAGCACGUAUGCGGGGGGUCCAUCAUCAGCCAGCGCUGGAUCAUCACAGCGGCACACUGCUUCACUCAGUACAACAUGAUGUAUGAGUCUGACUGGCAGGUCGUGAUCGAUACCGUGCACUUGUUUGAUCAGGCACUGGGAAAGAGAUACAGUGCCCUGGAGAUCUAUCCCCAUCCAGACUUCUCUGAAGAGAACAACGACUAUGACCUCGGCCUGCUCCGCACCGCCUCAGACAUGGAGAUGGGAGGUGGAGUAAGGCCUGUGUGCUUACCGAGUCGGAGGGAGUCCUUCCCCCCUGGGUCCCUCUGCUGGGUUACAGGCUGGGGCUACACCAAGGAGGGCGGCUUGGUGUCGUCAGAGAUGAGGCAGGCCCAGGUGAGGGUGAUCGACCAGGUCCUGUGCUCACGGCCAAAUGUGUACGGCUCCUACCUCACUCCCAGAAUGCUUUGUGCUGGCUUCAUGGAGGGAGGGGUGGACUCCUGCCAGGUAGUUAUCUGCUACUGCUUGUCAAAGCUAAAAAAGGAGACAGCGGCGGCCCCCUCGUCUGUGAGACAGCAGAGGGAGAGUGGAGACUGGCGGGCAUCGUGAGCUGGGGUGAGGGUUGUGGCCGACGCAACAAGCCUGGAGUUUACACGCGUGUCACCCACCUGUUAAGCUGGAUGGAGCACUACAUACAGGUGGAGGAGGAAGAACCACCGACACCAGACAAUUAAUGAAAAAAUAAUUCAGCAAUCCAUGUGUUAUUAUUGUUGGUGGUGUUAUUGGCAUUCAAAUAAAUGUGAUGUUUUUUUAAUACAAAAUAAAUACAAAUAAAAACUAUUCUAAGUCGAGUAGCCCACAGUCUAUGGUUUAUACGGUUGUUGUUGGCUGGUUGUCACAACACCAUCAGCCUACAUCGCCAAAAAAAGAACUGCCAGGUGUGGCCGUAGACGGUAAACGAAGCGGCGCAAUUAAGUACCCCGCAUUUCCUUGGAACUACUCCGCCCACUGCCACUCCACGGUACACUAAAACUGCAGAAGUCAAAUUUCCUUCGUCCAUCAUUGUGAAUAACGUGGAUAUCACCUGACCUGACCUCUCACAUUAUUUGUCAUUCAGGGGUGUAGUGCAGAAGAUAUGGGGUAAAGGUUGCGUGUAUGAAGGGGAGGUGAGCGGCUUCUCAAAGUCUGAGAGGAGUAACAGCUGUUAUAUUAUAACUUGUUCGGCGCAGUGCUAACUGCACUAGCCUACUGCACGAACGAAUGACACAUGAUUGUGAACUACGGUUAGAGAACAAGAAACUAUUUCUACGGAAUUUUGACUGUUUGACUGAGCGGACCAUCCUUCACUGCAAACUACAUGCCUUACAUUUGAGGAUAGAAUCAAUUUUUAUGUU